UCCAGGGUUCUUCAACGUAUUUUAAACCAAGGACCCCGUAACUAAGAGUGAGAUGGAGCAGAGACCCCCUACUACAUAUUAUAUGAAAUUAAGUUGCAUGUUAAAUUGAGCCUACCAUUAACUGUUAGGGUACCGAAG